rnacentral:rRNA from 1 species
AUUGAACGCUGGCGGCAGGCCUAACACAUGCAAGUCGAGCGAGCGGCGGACGGGUGAGUAAUGUCUGGGAAACUGCCUGAUGGAGGGGGAUAACUACUGGAAACGGUAGCUAAUACCGCAUACCAUCAGAUGUGCCCAGAUGGGAUUAGCUAGUAGGUGGGGUAAUGGCUCACCUAGGCGACGAUCCCUAGCUGGUCUGAGAGGAUGACCAGCCACACUGGAACUGAGACACGGUCCAGACGCAUACGGGAGGCAGCAGUGGGGAAUAUUGCACAAUGGGCGCAAGCCUGAGGCAGACAUGCCGCGUGUAUGAAGAAGGCCUUCGGGUUGUAAAGUACUUGAAGCGGGGAGGCGUUACCCGCAGAAGAAGCACCGGCUAACUCCGUGCCAGCAGCCGCGGUAAUAU